GAGGGGGCGCCAGCCCAUAAUGGACGACGGGCCUUCAGCAGAAUUGCCAGCGGCAUGGAGGUGCAUAUUAAAGAAUUGUAGGUGAACACAACGAUUCCUAUGGUGGAUGAGGCCGUGAAUGCCUGCCUAGUGUUGCAUAUGUAUGCGUGGUGCCUCCCGCGUGCUUAUGUGUAUGUAUUUUCUUUUAAUGCUUGUUUUGCUUUUAUUUAUUAUUUUUGUUUAUUAUUAUAUGUGGUUUUUGGUAUUUUUUUAUUAUUUUGUUGGCUAUGCUCUGCAUGUGCCUUUUUGCGUUGUGUUGCGAGUGACCGUAGCAGCGAUAGUUGCCAAUGUUCGUUUUUUUAAGGGCUGUUCCUGUUCUAUGUUCUAUUAGCCUUUUUCAUGUUUGUAU
rnacentral:lncRNA from 1 species